rnacentral:lncRNA from 8 species
AUGAUACAAGUGAACACAAAGGGAAUACUCAGUGGCUUGGCUCAAUGUGUUCCAGGUUACGACAGCAGGACAGGUCACCUCUGUCCUAGCAGAGGGAUCCAUUCCUCAAAAUCAAACUGCCAAAAUAUUCUCUGCCUAAGGACCUCCAUAUCGUCAGCACAGACGAGCACCAGGUCUUCGAGGCGGUGCAGAAGUGAAACCAGAAUGAUACCUACAACCUGUACCUCUCCGACAUCUGGGGCAUCCUCUUCACCCUGGCCAUGGAGAAUGUCUAGACCACUUGGGGCCUGGGGGCCUGGGGGGCAAUCAGAUGCUGGACCUGUACGAGAUGGCAGGUACUGUAUCAAAGGAAUGCUGAUCGCUAAACAGGAGGCUGGACAACCAGGUGAAGACCUACAUCACAUACAACAAGGGUCGUGAUUGGAGGUUACUGCAGCCCCCGUCGACAGACCUGGCUGGCAACGACAUCCACUGUAUACUG